AGACAACAAAAUGUUUAUUAUUAUUUUGUCACCUUAGGUCGAUCGGUAUCUCACGUUUUUAAUUUAUUAAGAACUUCAUUUCCUAAGUUUUUCUAGGUCACACCCAUUAUUUUCCUGGGCCAUUAGCUCAGGUGGUUAGAGCGCACCCCUGAUAAGGGUGAGGUCCCUGGUUCAAGUCCAGGAUGGCCCAUAUCUCUAUGUUGGGGGUAUAGCUCAGUUGGUAGAGCGCCUGCUUUGCAAGCAGGAUGUCAGCGGUUCGAGUCCGCUUACCUCCACUGAUUACCACCUCUUCCAUAAUCUGUAGAAAGGAAAAUUUUUAGGUUUUGAUCAUAAAUCUGAACGAAUCUAGCUUCCUAAUGAAACCAUUAAGAUGCUGGACUCAUUGAAUUAAUUUCAUUGUUUUCAGAGAACCUUGACAACUGCAUAGAUUAUUUUUUAAAGACAAUAAGCAUCUUAAAUGAUGCAGAUUUAUUAUUUUUGCAAAUGCAUUAAUAACAAUUCUAUUAAGCUGAUGCUUCAAUUAUGAAGUUAUU
rnacentral:tRNA from 1 species